GGAGGAGGAGAAAAAGGUGAAGGAAUCCCUCAUUUCAAAUGAGAUUAGGGAGAUGUGUAAAAUAAGGGAAACUGUGAAAUUGUACAGAAAACAUCACUCAAAUAAGGCUGUAGCAGUGCAAGCGAUGAAUCUGUUUAAGUACAAUGCAAUGUCACAUUUCUGAGAAAAGAAGGAAAAGAAAACAAAACCUAGUGUCAUUGGAUAAGUUCCUUCAUAAAGUUACACAAAAGAAAAAAUUCCAUUGAGCCAAUAGAUAGCAGUGAUUUCUCUAGUGAUAGUGAAAGCUGUCCUAUAUAAUAAAUAACAUUCCUUUCUCUUGUCUGUCUCACAUCAGCCACAAAGAUUUUCAAAGGAUUGUGGAAUGAAUCAUCUGAGCUACCAUUAUAUCUUAUGGGGAAAUUUGCUUUAUAUAAAUGCUUUGGAUUAGGAGCAUGUUUCCAGAAUGAAUUAUGGUCACAAACCAAAGUUUUACUGCACAUGAAUUUCCUUGCUUGAAAGAAUCACAAUUAAGAAUGUAGGAUCUGAAGUCCAGUACUUUCGUAGCCAGAAAAAUUUGAGCAAGAUCCUGGCAAGAGGAUAGUCGCACACUCCUAAGGUUUGGAAUCAAGGCCAUGCCUGCUGCAACAAAGGAAAAUUUACCAUCCCCAAAGCAGCUAAGCACUCACCAUGGGAUCAUGUGACCAUUUAACCAAAGCUGCCCAUCAUGAUCUGCACGUCAGAGGCACUGAGUCAUGUUGUCAAGUGAACACAGCACCUUGAAGGCUCAAGAACAAUCAGCCAUUCUACACCCUCACAUAGUAGAAGGAAAUUCCAUGAGGUAACUUCUGACCAAUGGAAACAGGAUAAGUAUUUUCUUUUUCCACGUUUGGAGGUAAAAUUCUGUGUACAUUCCACAGGGCUCCUGAGACCCCUCGUGGUAGCCCAUCACUCUGAAGCAACAGGUCAGCAGCACAUACUUGAUGGGUUUCCCUCCUCUCAGUCUCCCACCCCUCUUCUUUCAGAUCCUAACUACUUGCAUAUAAGCCUUCCUCUCAGGUUGUGCCUUUGGGGUGUAACAAAGACUAAUAACAGAAUUAAAUAGCACAUAUGCUUCUAAAUUUAAGACCAACAUACUUAUAUGUGAGGCCUACAGAACAUGCUAUUUAUUUACAGCAACUGCCUUUGGAGCUUCAUCUUCGUAACCUUCUAUGUUAGUAGGCUUACUAUCUCCAUGCUACAGAUCAGGAAAUGGAGGCCUAAAAUUCCAACUGCUACAUUUGAGCUAACUGUCUGACCUCCAGAUCUGACCUCCAAAGCCCAGGCCCUUAAGCAUUACACCUGUUACUCAGCAUGACUUCCACCACACAUCUUCUCCACUUUCUGAGGCCUUUAACUUAGCCACUCUACAGACCUUGCCCUUUCACGCUGUUUCAUCCUGUCAACACCGCAGCCUAGAUCAGAUACCAUCUCCCUAAACUUUCUUAUCAGCUUCCAUACAGCAUUUUUUUUCAAUCUUUCUUAUACUGUGACUACUGUUCUGCUGCUUUCGUAUGACUUA